rnacentral:rRNA from 1 species
GACGAACGCUGGCGGCGUGCCUAAUACAUGCAAGUAGAACGCUGAAGAGAGGAGCUUGCUCUUCUUGGAUGAGUUGCGAACGGGUGAGUAACGCGUAGGUAACCUGCCUUGUAGCGGGGGAUAACUAUUGGAAACGAUAGCUAAUACCGCAUAACAAUAGGUGACACAUGUCAUUUAUUUGAAAGGGGCAAUUGCUCCACUACAAGAUGGACCUGCGUUGUAUUAGCUAGUAGGUGAGGUAACGGCUCACCUAGGCGACGAUACAUAGCCGACCUGAGAGGGUGAUCGGCCACACUGGGACUGAGACACAGCCCAGACUCCUACGGGAGGCAGCAGUAGGGAAUCUUCGGCAAUAGGGGCAACCCUGACCGAGCAACGCCGCGUGAGUGAAGAAGGUUUUCGGAUCGUAAAGCUCUGUUGUAAGUCAAGAACGAGUGUGAGAGUGGAAAGUUCACACUGUGACGGUAGCUUACCAGAAAGGGACGGCUAACUACGUG